rnacentral:rRNA from 1 species
GUGUCAGCCGCCGCGGUAAUACCAGCUCUCCGAGUGGUGGGGACGUUUAUUGGGCCUGAAGCAUCCGUAGCCAGCUGAGCAAGUCCCCAGUUAAAUCCAGCGAUUUAAUCGUUGGACUGCUGGGGAUACUGUCCGGCUUGGGGGUGGGAGAGGCCGACGGUAUUCCCGGGGUAGGGGUGAAAUCCUAUAAUCCCGGGAGGACCACCAGUGGCGAAGGCUGUUGGCUAAAACAUGCCCGACGGUGAGGGAUGAAAGCUGGGGGAGCGAACCGGAUUAGAUACCCGGGUAGUCCCAGCUGUAAACGAUGCAGGCUAGGUGUUAGGGCGGCCACGUGCCGCUCUAGUGCCGCAGGGAAGCUGUUAAGCCUGCCGCCUGGGGAGUACGGCCGCAAGGCUGAAACUCAAAUGAAUUGGCGGGG